rnacentral:rRNA from 1 species
UCGAGGAUCUUCGUCAAUGGGCGCAAGCCUGAACGAGCGACGCCGCGUGUGCGAUGAAGGCCUUCGGGUUGUAAAGCACUGUCGAGGGGGAUCAAGGCGCAAGCUUGAGUGAUCCCUGGAGGAAGCACGGGCUAAGUUCGUGCCAGCAGCCGCGGUAAGACGAACCGUGCGAACGUUGUUCGGAAUCACUGGGCUUAAAGGGCGCGUAGGCGGCUCGCGAGGUCGGGGGUGAAAUCCCACAGCUUAACUGUGGAAGUGCCUUCGAUACCGGUGGGCUGGAGGAAGGUAGGGGUGCGCGGAACUUCUGGUGGAGCGGUGAAAUGCGUUGAUAUCAGAAGGAACGCCGGCGGCGAAAGCGGCGCACUGGACCUUUUCUGACGCUGAGGCGCGAAAGCCAGGGGAGCAAACGGGAUUAGAUACCCGCGUAGUCC